rnacentral:lncRNA from 1 species
UCAGAUAUAUCUAUACAGAUCUAGGAGGUAUAGAAAGGAAAUUAAGGUUUCGGAAGAACCCAUAAUAAGACGAAGUAACUUGUAUGAAAACUCAAAGAUCGUGUCAAAUAUAGAAUGAUUCUACUUUGAAUCACACUGGAAUAGCCAAGAACAGGCAAGAUAUUAACCCUAGAUGCAGGUCGACAUGGCCCUGGCCCCUUGAAGACCUUAGAGAAGGCAAGCAAAGAAUGAGAGAAGCCAUUGGAGGCUUAAAAGAUGAUGGGAGGUCACCAGAGAUAGGAGGUCGGCCUUUGAAAAUUGGUGUUAGGUUGAGAGUAUUUUAAGAGAAGUGAGG